AACGAACGCUGGCGGCAGGCUUAACACAUGCAAGUCGAGCGCCCCGCAAGGGGAGCGGCAGACGGGUGAGUAACACGUGGGAACAUACCCUUUACUACGGAACAACUCCGGGAAACUGGAGCUAAUACCGUAUGUGCCCUUUGGGGGAAAGAUUUAUCGGUAAAGGAUUGGCCCGCGUUGGAUUAGCUAGUUGGUGGGGUAAAGGCCUACCAAGGCGACGAUCCAUAGCUGGUCUGAGAGGAUGAUCAGCCACAUUGGGACUGAGACACGGCCCAAACUCCUACGGGAGGCGGCAGUGGGGAAUAUUGGACAAUGGGCGCAAGCCUGAUCCAGCCAUGCCGCGUGAGUGAUGAAGGCCUUAGGGUUGUAAAGCUCUUUCACCGAUGAAGAUAAUGACGGUAGUCGGAGAAGAAGCCCCGGCUAACUUCGUGCCAGCCGCCGCCGUAA
rnacentral:rRNA from 1 species